rnacentral:rRNA from 1 species
GAUGAACGCUGACCGCAUGCUUAACACAUGCAAGUCUACUUGAACUUCGGUUGGGGUGGCGGACGGGGGAGUAACGCGUAAAGAAAUUGUCUCACAGUUAUGGACAACAUUUGGAAAAGAAUGCUAAUACCUGAUAUUAUGAUUUUAGGGCAUCCGAGGAUUAUGAAAGCUAUAUGUGCUGUGAGAGAGCUUUGCUACCCAUGAGCUAGUUGGCGAGGUAACGGCUCACCAAGGCGAUGAUGGGUAGCCGGCCUGAGAGGGUGAACGGCCACCAGGGCACUGAGACACGGCCCUUACACCUACGGGAGGCAGCAGUGGGGAAUAUUGAACAAUGAACCAGAAGUCUGAUCCAGCAAUUCUGUGUGGACGAUGACGUUUGUCGGAAUGUAAAGUGCUUUCAGUUGGGAAGAAAAAAAUGACGGUACCAAAAGAAGAAGUGACGGCUAAAUACGUG